GACGAACGCUGGCGGCGUGCUUAACACAUGCAAGUCGAACGGAAAGGCCACUGCUUGCAGUGGUACUCGAGUGGCGAACGGGUGAGUAACACGUGGGUGAUCUGCCCUGUACUUUGGGAUAAGCCUGGGAAACUGGGUCUAAUACCGGAUAGGACCACCGUUUAGUGUCGGUGGUGGAAAGCUUUUGCGGUACGGGAUGAGCUCGCGGCCUAUCAGCUUGUUGGUGGGGUAAUGGCCUACCAAGGCGUCGACGGGUAGCGGCCUGAGAGGGUGGACGGCCACAUUGGGACUGAGAUACGGCCCAG
rnacentral:rRNA from 1 species